AGCCCGAGCCGCCGCCGCCGCCGCCCGCCCGCCCGGGAGGAGCACUGGACCCCAGGCGGCUGGGAGCGCACGCGAGCUGGCCAGGGCCGCGCGGGCAGCGCCCUGAGCCCGUCCCGCGCCCGCGGGCCCCGCCAAGCAGAGGAGCGCCCCGGGAUGCCCCGGCGGCCCGGAGCGCGGGCAGCGGCAGCGGCGACCACGCCGUGAGGGCGGCGGCGCCCGCGGGACCCGUGACUGCCAGGAGCUGCUGCCAGCACCGACAACCCCUAUGGCCUACAUCCCUGGUGGGGGCGCCCCGGCAGCGGGGGUGGCCCCCGUGGGCUCCCAGUAUUGUGUGUGCAAGGUGGAACUGUCAGUGAGUGGCCAGAACCUGCUGGACCGGGAUGUCACCUCCAAGUCUGACCCCUUCUGUGUCCUCUUUACAGAGAACGAUGGCAGGUGGAUUGAGUACGACAGGACAGAAACUGCCGUCAACAACCUCAAUCCCGCGUUCUCCAAGAAGUUCGUCCUCGACUACCACUUUGAGGAGGUGCAGAAGCUCAAGUUCGCCCUGUUUGACCAGGACAAGUCCAGCACACAACUCGAUGAGCAUGAUUUCCUGGGCCAGUUCUCCUGCAGCCUGGGCACGAUCGUCUCCAGCAAGAAGAUCACUCGGCCUCUGCUGCUGAUGAAUGACAAGCCUGCAGGGAAGGGCCUGAUUACGAUUGCUGCCCAGGAGCUGUCAGACAACCAGGUCAUCACGCUGAGUCUGGCGGGCAGGAAGCUGGACAAAAAGGACCUCUUUGGGAAGUCAGACCCAUUUCUCGAGUUUUAUAAACCGGGAGAUGAUGGCAAGUGGAUGCUGGUUCACAGGACUGAGGUGAUCAAGUACACACUGGACCCUGUGUGGAAACCAUUCACUGUGCCAUUGGUGUCCCUGUGUGAUGGGGACAUGGAGAAGCCCAUCCAGGUCAUGUGCUACGACUAUGACAACGACGGAGGCCAUGACUUCAUCGGCGAGUUCCAGACCUCAGUGUCGCAGAUGUGUGAGGCUCGUGAUGGCGUCCCGCUGGAAUUCGAGUGCAUCAACCCCAAGAAGCAAAGGAAGAAAAAGAACUAUAAGAACUCGGGCAUCAUUAUCUUGCGUUCCUGCAAGAUAAACCGGGACUACUCUUUCCUGGACUACAUCCUGGGAGGCUGCCAGCUCAUGUUCACGGUUGGGAUAGACUUCACAGCCUCCAAUGGGAAUCCCCUGGACCCUUCCUCUUUGCACUAUAUCAACCCCAUGGGCACCAACGAAUAUCUGUCAGCCAUCUGGGCUGUUGGGCAGAUCAUUCAGGACUAUGACAGUGACAAGAUGUUUCCGGCUCUGGGCUUCGGGGCCCAGUUACCCCCAGACUGGAAGGUCUCCCAUGAGUUUGCCAUCAACUUCAACCCUACCAACCCCUUCUGCUCGGGUGUCGAUGGCAUCGCCCAGGCAUACUCGGCCUGCCUGCCCCACAUCCGCUUCUACGGCCCCACCAACUUCUCACCCAUCGUCAACCACGUGGCUCGGUUUGCAGCCCAGGCCACACAGCAGCAGACAGCCACGCAAUACUUCAUCCUUCUCAUCAUCACGGACGGUGUCAUCAGUGACAUGGAGGAGACGCGCCAUGCCGUGGUGCAGGCUUCCAAGCUGCCCAUGUCCAUCAUCAUCGUGGGCGUGGGCAAUGCCGACUUCGCUGCCAUGGAGUUCCUAGACGGGGACAGCCGCACACUGCGCUCCCACACGGGGGAGGAGGCCGCCCGCGAUAUCGUGCAGUUUGUGCCCUUCCGAGAGUUCCGCAACCUGGGCGUUCAGCGGUGAGCCAGACAGUCCCAGCCCGUUUAUGGUGGCCAAGGAGGUGCUCAGGAAGUAUCUGCCAGGGGAGUAGGCUAUGCAGCUCGCCUCCACCAUCUCUUUCCCCAGAAGCUUCCCACACACAAAUUCAUCCUAAAACGUUACUCCCAGGCAUCUCAAGGGCUCAAGGCGGCAAAAGAGACAUUGGCCAAAGCUGUGCUGGCGGAACUACCCCAACAAGUUGUGCAGUAUUUCAAGCAUAAAAACCUGCCCCCCACCAACUCGGAGCCUGCCUGAGCGCCAGCCCGUGCCCAGCCCCAGCAUGCCGGCUGGGCCUCCCGCCCUCUCCAGGAACGUGCACGCUCACCCUGCUUCCUUGUGGGUGGCUUUUUUAACCGAUCCAUUUUUUUUUUUUUUUUUUUUUUACAACCGGACCUCCACCCCCAACUUCCCCCAGCCCAGCUGGGCUUCCUUUGUUGGAGUCGACUGAUGAUGCUUCCGGGCCAAACUGGCUUCCUCCCUACCCUUAAGUAUUGAAUGUACUUUGUAUAAUUUUAGUGGAAUUACUGUUAUUAAAGAGAAAAUUUUUACAAUCAUAACUGGCUUUUUCCAAGUAACUAGCUGCAGACUCUGAAAGGAAUGUGUCCCCAGUGCAUACUUUGUGUCAUUGCCUGCACCUAAUUCCUGGUCUGUUUUUUUAUACUGUGACUGUGUUCUAUUUGUAAUACUCAGGGUAAUAAAGGAGUUUCAGAUGUU